rnacentral:rRNA from 1 species
UACGAAGGGGGGCUAGCGUUGUUCGGAAUCACUGGGCGUAAAGCGCACGUAGGCGGAUCUUUAAGUCAGGGGUGAAAUCCCGAGGCUCAACCUCGGAACUGCCUUUGAUACUGGGGAUCUCGAGUCCGGGAGAGGUGAGUGGAACUGCGAGUGUAGAGGUGAAAUUCGUAGAUAUUCGCAAGAACACCAGUGGCGAAGGCGGCUCACUGGCCCGGAACUCGACGCUGAGGUGCGGAAAGCG